rnacentral:rRNA from 1 species
AGUCGAGCGGACCGACGGGAGCUUGCUCCCUUAGGUCAGCGGCGGACGGGUGAGAAGGGUGGGGUGACCUGCCUGUAAGACUGGGAUAACUCCGGGAAACCGGGGCUAAUACCGGAUGCUUGAUUGAACCGCAUGGUUCAAUUAUAAAAGGUGGCUUUUAGCUACCACUUACAGAUGGACCCGCGGCGCAUUAGCUAGUUGGUGAGGUAACGGCUCACCAAGGCAACGAUGCGUAGCCGACCUGAGAGGGUGAUCGGCCACACUGGGACUGAGACACGGCCCAGACUCCUACGGGAGGCAGCAGUAGGGAAUCUUCCGCAAUGGACGAAAGUCUGACGGAGCAACGCCGCGUGAGUGAUGAAGGUUUUCGGAUCGUAAAACUCUGUUGUUAGGGAAGAACAAGUACCGUUCGAAUAGGGCGGUACCUUGUUUUGUAUCUAACCAGAAAGCCACGGCUAACUACGUGCCAGCAGCCGCGGUAAUACGUAGGUGGCAAGCGUUGUCCGGAAUUAUUGGGCGUAAAGCGCGCGCAGGCGGUUUCUUAAGUCUGAUGUGAAAGCCCCCGGCUCAACCGGGGAGGGUCAUUGGAAACUGGGGAACUUGAGUGCAGAAGAGGAGAGUGGAAUUCCACGUGUAGCGGUGAAAUGCGUAGAGAUGUGGAGGAACACCAGUGGCGAAGGCGACUCUCUGGUCUGUAACUGA